GAUGAAGAACGUAGCGAAAUGCGAUAAGUAGUGUGAAUUGCAGAAUUCAGUGAAUCAUCGAAUCUUUGAACGCACAUUGCGCCCCUUGGUAUUCCGGGGGGCAUGCCUGUUCGAGCGUCAUUUCAACCCUCAAGCUCUGCUUGGUCUUGGGCCGCGCCGGCGACGGCGGGCCUCAAAAACAGUGGCGGCGCCAUCUGGUUCCUCAGCGUAGUAAUUCUUCUCGCUGUUGGGCCCGGGUGGCCGCUGGCCAGCAACCCCAAAUUUUCUAUGGUUGACCUCGGAUCAGGUAGGGAUACCCGCUGAACUUAAGCAUAUCAAUAAGCGGAGGA
rnacentral:misc_RNA from 1 species